ensembl:lncRNA
ACAUGACCAUAUCAGUUAAUGUUUUCCUGCAAUCUGAAAAAUAAUAUUGCUAUAUUGUAGCAUAGCUAGAAAAAAAAAAAAAAAAAAAACUCAACAUGACCAUAUCAGAAGUCUUGUGAAUGGUGACUACCAGGUUGAAAUUUGUAUUACUUUUUUUGUUUUCCUUCUUUUCAGAGUGGAAAGUUGAGAAAAAAAAUUUUUCGGGCUGUACUUCUAUACAGAAGGGGGCUUUUGGAAAGGGCUGAAAGUCUUUCUGAGCUAACAGCAGGCUGGCAACUUGGCUCGUCUAUUUUUCAGUGUACUAGGGGGUAAAAUGACUAGUUUUAUUUUAACAUUCGAUACAUGCAGUCAGUAUGUUACAUCACUUUGUUUUUACAUUGCAUGUUUAUUGAUAUCUUUACUUUAGGUGAUGCAGCAAAAGGAGAUGGUGUGAAACGCUACUUCCUAUUUCAGGUUAUUUCUCGUGUGCAGUUUGGGUUUUCCCUAGAUUUUGACAACUGUGGCAAACCCCCAUUUUUCACUGGUCAACCUCCCGAACUCUGCUGGAUAGUGACCUGUUCCGCAUUGUUGGACACAUGAUUGGCCAUUCAUUCAUGAAUGGUGGUCCCUCAUUGACUGGACUUAGUCCUGCUAUGUUUGGAAUAAUACUUAGACAAAUGAAUGACACAGUCAUAACUGAACUUGAAGAUUGCCCUGACACAGAUGUCAUUGAAAUUGUCCAUCUAGUAUGUACAACAUUAAACCUACCUCUGACCAAUGUUUUGUGUAAACUGAAAUGAGAAUAAUUUACCUAGAUAUUUUUUUAACAUACAUUUUACUACAGCUUCAAAAAACAAAUACACUUGCUGAUGAUGAGUGUGUGAAAGUGAAAGACCUAGCUGUCAGAUGGGAUCUACCACGAGUCACUGCAGAAAAUGACUGUGGCUAGCCCAAAGCAUUUAUUAUUAUUAUUAUUAUUAUUAUUAUUAUUAUUAUUAUUAUUAUUAUUAUUUAUUUUCUUAACCUUAAUUUAUAAAAAAUUGCAAAAAAUAAUUUCCUUAGGUCAUUGGCUGUCGCAAGAAACAGAUGCAACAGGAUACUGGAGUAUUGAGCAUGGUUAAGGAAUGACCUUCUCUCAUUGAAGUCCUAUUCCCACGAUCAUCUUCCCUGACCAUCGACGCACAGGUACUGUUCCACAAUGUGCAUUCACUAUUUCCAACUAGAUACACAGAUAUAAUUACAAAUCCCUCUAUGUAAUGAUUAGGCAUAAUCUGAAGUUGCUUUUAUUAACAAAGCAUGGCUAAUAAACGGGUAGUCAAAACAUAAACA